ACGCAUUAAGUGCUUCGCUUGGGGAGUACGAUCGCAAGAUUAAAACUCAAAGGAAUUGACGGGGCCCCGCACAAGCAGCGGAGCAUGCGGCUUAAUUCGACGCAACGCGAAGAACCUUACCAAGGCUUGACAUAUACAGGAAUAUGGCAGAAAUGUCAUAGCCGCAAGGUCUGUAUACAGGUGGUGCAUGGUUGUCGUCAGCUCGUGUCGUGAGAUGUUGGGUUAAGUCCCGCAACGAGCGCAACCCUCGUUCUGUGUUGCCAGCAUUUAGUUGGGGACUCACAGGAGACUGCCGGGGUUAACUCGGAGGAAGGUGGGGAUGACGUCAAAUCAUCAUGCCCCUUAUGUCUUGGGCUGCACGCAUGCUACAAUGGCUGGUACAAACGGCUGCGAUACCGCAAGGUGGAGCGAAUCCGAUAAAGCCAGUCUCAGUUCGGAUUGGGGUCUGCAACUCGACCCCAUGAAGUCGGAGUUGCUAGUAAUCGUAGAUCAGCAACGCUACGGUGAAUACGUUCCCGGGGCUUGUACACACCGCCCGUCACGUCACGAAAGUCGGUAACACCCGAAAGUCAGUGCCCAACCGUAAGGGGGGAGCUGCCGAAG
rnacentral:rRNA from 1 species